rnacentral:rRNA from 1 species
GGUUAAGUGACUAAGCGUACACGGUGGAUGCCUGGGCAGUCAGAGGCGAUGAAGGACGUACUAACUUGCGAUAAGCGCAGAUAAGGCAGUAAGAGCCGUUUGAGUCUGCGAUUUCCGAAUGGGGAAACCCAACUGCAUAAGCAGUUACUGUUAACUGAAUACAUAGGUUAACAGAGCAAACCGGGGGAACUGAAACAUCUAAGUACCCCGAGGAGAAGAAAUCAACCGAGAUUCCGGUAGUAGCGGCGAGCGAACCUGGAUUAGCCCUUAAGCACUCGGUGAAGUAGGUGAACAAGCUGGAAAGCUUGGCGAUACAGGGUGAUAGCCCCGUAACCGACGCUUCAUCGAGCGUGAAAUCGAGUAGGGCGGGACACGUGAUAUCCUGUCUGAAUAUGGGGGGACCAUCCUCCAAGGCUAAAUACUCCUGACUGACCGAUAGUGAACCAGUACCGUGAGGGAAAGGCGAAAAGAACCCCUGUGAGGGGAGUGAAAUAGAACCUGAAACCGUGUACGUACAAGCAGUAGGAGCACCUUCGUGGUGUGACUGCGUACCUUUUGUAUAAUGGGUCAGCGACUUAUAUUCAGUGGCAAGGUUAACCGUAUAGGGGAGCCGUAGCGAAAGCGAGUCUUAACUGGGCGCUCAGUCUCUGGAUAUAGACCCGAAACCGGGUGAUCUAGCCAUGGGCAGGUUGAAGGUUGAGUAACAUCAACUGGAGGACCGAACCGACUAAUGUUGAAAAAUUAGCGGAUGACUUGUGGCUAGGGGUGAAAGGCCAAUCAAACUCGGAGAUAGCUGGUUCUCCCCGAAAGCUAUUUAGGUAGCGCCUCGGACGAAUACUACUGGGGGUAGAGCACUGUUAAGGCUAGGGGGUCAUCCCGACUUACCAACCCUUUGCAAACUCCGAAUACCAGUAAGUA